CCUACGGGUGGCAGCAGUGGGGAAUAUUGGGCAAUGGGCGCAAGCCUGACCCAGCAACGCCGCGUGAAGGACGAAGGCUCUCGGGUUGUAAACUUCUUUUGACAGGGAAGAGUAGAAGACGGUACCUGUCGAAUAAGCCACGCCUAACUACGUGCCAGCAGCCGCGGUAAUACGUAGGUGGCCAGCGUUGUCCGGGUUUACUGGGUGUAAAGGGCGUGUAGCCGGGUUGACAAGUCAGAUGUGAAAUCCUGCGGCUUAACCGGAGAACUGCAGUUGAAACUGUGGAUCUUGAGAACUGGAGAGGCAGGCGGAAUGCGUAGUGUAGCGGUGAAAUGCGUAGAUAUUACGAGGAACACCAGUGGCGAAGGCGGUAUGCUGGCCAGCAACUGACGGUGAGGCACGAAAGCGUGGGGAGCAAACAGGAUUAGAUACCCCUGUAGUC
rnacentral:rRNA from 1 species